AAAAACACCCAUUUUUAUUUGCAGUGCAAGAAGCCCCACUGCUCAUCUUCCCUGACAAUAUGGCUAAUUUUCCCGUUCCCGAACCCCAAAACUCACAACCCUCACCCCGCUUCGCGGCCAACAUCACCGGUGGAGCCAACUGCUUCGACGUUCGCUACCUCCAGACGCUGGAAAACGACACUGCUUCUUCGAUCCUACAUUUCUUCGUGAGGCAGAGAAUGAUUCCCGAAUAUGUCGUAAAUGCGGCCUUCCUCGCCCUUCCCCUUCCCAAUCCUAUUUCAUUCAGCCUCAAAAAGGAUACACUUUUGAGGCGGCUUGCCUCAGAGUUAGUGCUCCGCUCUGUCUCUGAGGAAACCCUAAGAAUCCUCGAGCUCAUUGAGGAGCUCGACCGCAAGAAUAGCCAUUGCCCCCCUUCUGAGGUCAUGAAGGCCGCUUACUGUGCCGUUGCAUCGUCGUGCACCGCUACCGCCCUUCAUCAGAACGUGGAUGAUUUCCUUGAUUCCUUCCAUCGGAUAUGGGUGCUGCGCAUCUGCGACGUUGAGAAGUCAGCGGCGGCUGCAUUGAUUUCUGAGGAGCUUCGGGAAGUGAGGGAUAUUUUUUGGGAGGUUGUGAAGGAUCCAAAGCUUCGGCCUUUGGUAGCUAAUAUUGAUUUGGAGGAGACGCUAGAUCUGGUUCGGGAUUAUCUUGAGGAGGUGUGGGACAUGAAGCCUUUGUUUCCUGAGGUGGCUGCAGAUGAGAUUGAUGGAGCUUUGAGAAUUCCGGGAGAGAGAAUGAAGCCCAGAAAAGGACCGUCAGGUUUGAGGAAUCAGACGUUUGGUUGUGUUCCGAAUACUAAGUUGGAACGUCUUGUAACUGAAGAGGGUAUGAAAGCACAAAAUGGAAUUGCUGAACCUAUCAUCGCUUCUGAUUCUGAGUCUAAUGGUCAGUUGGACCAGGACAGAGGCUUGGAAAUCAGCAAGCGUUCUUCUCAGCUGCUGAAUGCUGACGUCGAUGAUGAGCAGGCCUUGAAAGAAAGUUACCUUGAUCUUCGAAGAAUGUUGCAGAACACGCUGCUUGAUGCAGCAAAUAAGGCUACUGAAUUACAGGCGGUGAAUUCAGAAGAAGCAUGUGGUGAGGAGACAAGAGUAAAUGAUGUUCAGAACAUAACGGAUGAAGUGGCUUCUAUGUCUACGAUAGGUACUAAUAGUAGUAAGUGUUUGAAACCUUCAAGCUUGACGGAAAAAGAAGAACAUCAAAAUGGGCAGGAUCUACGCCGACUGAUGGCUUCUGAGAAAGUUUAUUGUGCUACUGCUGAUGAGAAAAACCACACGCAAAACAAUAACAAUUUUGCUUCCUUUCCAAGAAUUAGUCUUAUGGAGAAGAACCCAACUGCCCAUACAGUAGAGUGGAUGGAGUCACCACCUCGGGAAGGAAGAUUUCGUCUGCGUAGCCCAAAAAGGGAAAUUGUUUCGCCUUUGAAGUUGAUUGAUGAUAGAAGAUAUGCUAAACGGAGAAAAAUAAGGAAGUGGACUUUAUUGGAGGAAGAGACUUUGAUAAAGGCGGUGAGAGAGCAUGGUAAAGGGAGCUGGAAACAAAUUCUGAGUAACUACCCUAACAUUUUUGAAGAAAGAACUGAGGUUGAUCUGAAGGACAAAUGGAGAAACAUAACUAAGAGUAGCUUGCUAUCAUGACCUUGAACUACGUUAUAUACUACGGAGUCCAUCAGUCUUGCAGCAUUCCCGAGGCCUAAACCUUGCUCGAGCCCGCUUUGACAAACUCAAAGCCCGAAAUCAAGACUGACCCGCCU